ACCAAUGUGGUGUAGUGGUUUCAGUGCUAGACUAUGACUCUGGAGAUCAGGGUUUGAAUCCCUGCUCAGCCA